rnacentral:rRNA from 1 species
UAGGGAAUCUUCCGCAAUGGACGCAAGUCUGACGGAGCAACGCCGCGUGAGUGAAGAAGGUUUUCGGAUCGUAAAACUCUGUUGUUAGAGAAGAACAAGUGCUAGAGUAACUGUUAGUACCUUGACGGUAUCUAACCAGAAAGCCACGGCUAACUACGUGCCAGCAGCCGCGGUAAUACGUAGGUGGCAAGCGUUGUCCGGAUUUAUUGGGCGUAAAGCGAGCGCAGGCGGUUCCUUAAGUCUGAUGUGAAAGCCCCCGGCUCAACCGGGGAGGGUCAUUGGAAACUGGGGAACUUGAGUGCAGAAGAGGAGAGUGGAAUUCCAUGUGUAGCGGUGAAAUGCGUAGAUAUAUGGAGGAACACCAGUGGCGAAGGCGACGCUCUGGUCUGUAACUGACGCUGAGGCUCGAAAGCGUGGGUAGCAAACAGG